CUGACACAUUUUAGCCAACUGAUUCUUAAUAGUUCUAUUCAUUCUCUCUACCUUACCAGAACUCUGGGGUCUAUAUGCCGUAUGAAGCCUCCACUUUAUACCAAGCAUAUGAGUCAAUUGUUGUAGGCACUGAUGAACAAAAGCUGGACCAUUGUCUGAUCCUAUAGAGCAAGGUAAUCCAUAUCGGGGUAUUAUUUCUCGUAGCAGGAAUCUCACGACUUCUCCUGCUUUCUCUGUACGAGUAGGACAUGCUUCUACCCAGCCUGAAUAGGUGCACACCACUACCAGAAGGUAGCGAUGUCCACCCGAUUUAGGCAUCACUGUAUAGUCAAUUUGUAAAUCGGACAUGGGAAGUCCCCCCAUAAACUGGACUCCUGGUGGCUUUACUGGUCCCUGUCUUGCAUUAUUUUUAGCACACGUUACACAUCUACGUACAAUGGCCUGAGUCAAGUUGGACAAUCUUGGUAUGUAGAAAUGUUUUCUGAGAGAUUCUUCUGUACUGUCUCUCCCAGAAUGUGUCCCGUUAUGAUAGUUUUGGACAAUUUCUACCGCUAGUGAUGCUGGAAUAACUAUUCUUCCAUCUUCUAACUGAUACCAUUUGUUCUCCAAAUACUU